GAUGUUGGGUUAAGUCCCGCAACGAGCGCAACCCUUGAUCUUAGUUGCCAUCAUUAAGUUGGGCACUCUAAGGUGACUGCCGGUGACAAACCGAAGGAAGGUGGGGAUGACGUCAAAUCAUCAUGCCCCUUAUGACGUGGGCUACACACGUGCUACAAUGGACGGUACAAAGAGCUGCAAGACCGCGAGGUGGAGCUAAUCUCAUAAAACCGUUCUCAGUUCGGAUUGUAGGCUGCAACUCGCCUACAUGAAGCUGGAAUCGCUAGUAAUCGCGGAUCAGCAUGCCGCGGUGAAUACGUUCCCGGGCCUUGUACACACCGCCCGUCACACCACGAGAGUUUGUAACACCCGAAGUUCGGUGGGGUAACUUUUUUGGAGCCCAGCCCGCCCCUAUGGGGGGGACC
rnacentral:rRNA from 1 species